UAUAUACAAAUGGUAUAAAUCUUAAUUAUUAAUACUAUAAUCAACAAAGUGUAUUUAGUGAAGAAAAAAAAAGAGUAUCAGUAACUUGCAAUAAAGCAAGCAGUUAGAGGAGAUAAGCGAAUUCUUUCUAUAAGUUGUGUAAAUGAAAAACGGAAUAAACUAAAGCAAUUACAAUAUUUUUGCAAUUCCACGCUUCAUCACUGUGCAGUGUAUGUGGUUGCGGAAAGAGGUUUUUACACAUGAAGACUGAGGAAAAAUUAUAAACAAUACAACAACAACAAAAAAAAAAACUUU